ACGGCGAGUGAAGCGGCAACAGCUCAAAUUUGAAAUCUGGCUCUUUCAGGGUCCGAGUUGUAAUUUGCAGAGGGCGCUUUGGCGUUGGCAGCGGUCCAAGUUCCUUGGAACAGGACGUCACAGAGGGUGAGAAUCCCGUACGUGGUCGCUAACCUUCGCCGUGUAAAGCCCCUUCGACGAGUCGAGUUGUUUGGGAAUGCAGCUCUAAAUGGGAGGUAAAUUUCUUCUAAAGCUAAAUACUGGCCAGAGACCGAUAGCGCACAAGUAGAGUGAUCGAAAGAUGAAAAGCACUUUGGAAAGAGAGUCAAAUAGCACGUGAAAUUGUUGAAAGGGAAGCGCUUGCAGCCAGACUUGCCUGUAGUUGCUCAUCCGGACUUUUGUCCGGUGCACUCUUCUGCGGGCAGGCCAGCAUCAGUUUGGGCGGUUGGAGAAAGGUCUCUAUCACGUACCUCCCUUCGGGGUGGCCUUAUAGGGGAGACGUCAUGCAACCAGCCUGGACUGAGGUCCGCGCAUCUGCUAGGAUGCUGGCGUAAUGGCUGUAAGCGGCCCGUCUUGAAACACGGACCAAGGAGUCUAACAUCUAUGCGAGUGUUUGGGUGUCAAGCCCGAGCGCGUAAUGAAAGUGAACGGAGGUGGGAACCCUUAAGGGUGCACCAUCGACCGAUCCUGAUGUCUUCGGAUGGAUUUGAGUAAGAGCAUGGCUGUUGGGACCCGAAAGAUGGUGAACUAUGCUUGAAUAGGGUGAAGCCAGAGGAAACUCUGGUGGAGGCUCGCAGCGGUUCUGACGUGCAAAUCGAUCGUCAAAUUUGGGCAUAGGGGCGAAAGACUAA
rnacentral:rRNA from 1 species